CAAUAACCUCUAGAAAAAAUGUGUAUAAUCCUUAUAAUUCUUUAGCCAAAUAUUUUUUAUUAACAUAUUUUUUGUGUUAAGGCUAAUAUAAUAACAAUCACAUGCACAACUGACAGGUCGUAACUAAGGAGUUGGCCGCCAUAUUGCCUUUCUAAAAUCCAAAAAUGUUCUAUAAAUGCAACUGAAAUUAAAAUAAAAUAACACCUACCUCC
rnacentral:lncRNA from 1 species